AAUGACCGCGGAUCAGGUGAGGAUACCCGCUGAA
rnacentral:rRNA from 1 species